GGGUUGUGAGGUUAAGCGACUAAGCGUACACGGUGGAUGCCCUGGCAGUCAGAGGCGAUGAAGGACGUGCUAAUCUGCGAAAAGCGUCGGUAAGGUGAUAUGAACCGUUAUAACCGGCGAUGUCCGAAUGGGGAAACCCAGUGUGAUUCGUCACACUAUCGUUAACUGAAUACAUAGGUUAACGAGGCGAACCGGGGGAACUGAAACAUCUAAGUACCCCGAGGAAAAGAAAUCAACCGAGAUUCCCCCAGUAGCGGCGAGCGAACGGGGAGCAGCCCAGAGUCUGAAUCAGCUUGUGUGUUAGUGGAACGGUCUGGAAAGUCCGACGGUACAGGGUGAUAGUCCCGUACACCAAAAUGCACAGGCUGUGAACUCGAAGAGUAGGGCGGGACACGUGGUAUCCUGUCUGAAUAUGGGGGGACCAUCCUCCAAGGCUAAAUACUCCUGACUGACCGAUAGUGAACCAGUACCGUGAGGGAAAGGCGAAAAGAACCCCGGCGAGGGGAGUGAAAAAGAACCUGAAACCGUGUACGUACAAGCAGUGGGAGCACCUUCGGGUGUGACUGCGUACCUUUUGUAUAAUGGGUCAGCGACUUAUAUUCUGUAGCAAGGUUAACCGUAUAGGGGAGCCGCAGGGAAACCGAGUCUUAACUGGGCGUUAAGUUGCAGGGUAUAGACCCGAAACCCGGUGAUCUAGCCAUGGGCAGGUUGAAGGUUGGGUAACACUAACUGGAGGACCGAACCGACUAAUGUUGAAAAAUUAGCGGAUGACUUGUGGCUGGGGGUGAAAGGCCAAUCAAACCGGGAGAUAGCUGGUUCUCCCCGAAAGCUAUUUAGGUAGCGCCUCGUGAACUCAUCUUCGGGGGUAGAGCACUGUUUCGGCUAGGGGGUCAUCCCGACUUACCAACCCGAUGCAAACUACGAAUACCGAAGAAUGUUAUCACGGGAGACACACGGCGGGUGCUAACGUCCGUCGUGAAGAGGGAAACAACCCAGACCGCCAGCUAAGGUCCCAAAGUCAUGGUUAAGUGGGAAACGAUGUGGGAAGGCACAGACAGCCAGGAUGUUGGCUUAGAAGCAGCCAUCAUUUAAAGAAAGCGUAAUAGCUCACUGGUCGAGUCGGCCUGCGCGGAAGAUGUAACGGGGCUAAACCAUGCACCGAAGCUGCGGCAGCGACACUAUGUGUUGUUGGGUAGGGGAGCGUUCUGUAAGCCUGCGAAGGUGUGCUGUGAGGCAUGCUGGAGGUAUCAGAAGUGCGAAUGCUGACAUAAGUAACGAUAAAGCGGGUGAAAAGCCCGCUCGCCGGAAGACCAAGGGUUCCUGUCCAACGUUAAUCGGGGCAGGGUGAGUCGACCCCUAAGGCGAGGCCGAAAGGCGUAGUCGAUGGGAAACAGGUUAAUAUUCCUGUACUUGGUGUUACUGCGAAGGGGGGACGGAGAAGGCUAUGUUAGCCGGGCGACGGUUGUCCCGGUUUAAGCAUGUAGGCUGGUUGUCCAGGCAAAUCCGGAUAAUCAAGGCUGAGGUGUGAUGACGAGGUACUACGGUGCUGAAGUAACAAAUGCCCUGCUUCCAGGAAAAGCCUCUAAGCAUCAGGUAACAUCAAAUCGUACCCCAAACCGACACAGGUGGUCAGGUAGAGAAUACCAAGGCGCUUGAGAGAACUCGGGUGAAGGAACUAGGCAAAAUGGUGCCGUAACUUCGGGAGAAGGCACGCUGGUGUGUAGGUGAAGUCCCUGCGGAUGGAGCUGAGACCAGUCGAAGAUACCAGCUGGCUGCAACUGUUUAUUAAAAACACAGCACUGUGCAAACACGAAAGUGGACGUAUACGGUGUGACGCCUGCCCGGUGCCGGAAGGUUAAUUGAUGGGGUUAUCCGUAAGGAGAAGCUCUUGAUCGAAGCCCCGGUAAACGGCGGCCGUAACUAUAACGGUCCUAAGGUAGCGAAAUUCCUUGUCGGGUAAGUUCCGACCUGCACGAAUGGCGUAAUGAUGGCCAGGCUGUCUCCACCCGAGACUCAGUGAAAUUGAACUCGCUGUGAAGAUGCAGUGUACCCGCGGCAAGACGGAAAGACCCCGUGAACCUUUACUAUAGCUUGACACUGAACAUUGAGCCUUGAUGUGUAGGAUAGGUGGGAGGCUUUGAAGCGUGGACGCCAGUCUGCGUGGAGCCAACCUUGAAAUACCACCCUUUAAUGUUUGAUGUUCUAACGUUGGCCCCUUACCGGGGUUGCGGACAGUGUCUGGUGGGUAGUUUGACUGGGGCGGUCUCCUCCCAAAGCGUAACGGAGGAGCACGAAGGUUAGCUAAUCCUGGUCGGACAUCAGGAGGUUAGUGCAAUGGCAUAAGCUAGCUUGACUGCGAGCGUGACGGCGCGAGCAGGUGCGAAAGCAGGUCAUAGUGAUCCGGUGGUUCUGAAUGGAAGGGCCAUCGCUCAACGGAUAAAAGGUACUCCGGGGAUAACAGGCUGAUACCGCCCAAGAGUUCAUAUCGACGGCGGUGUUUGGCACCUCGAUGUCGGCUCAUCACAUCCUGGGGCUGAAGUAGGUCCCAAGGGUAUGGCUGUUCGCCAUUUAAAGUGGUACGCGAGCUGGGUUUAGAACGUCGUGAGACAGUUCGGUCCCUAUCUGCCGUGGGCGCUGGAGAAUUGAGGGGGGCUGCUCCUAGUACGAGAGGACCGGAGUGGACGCAUCACUGGUGUUCGGGUUGUCAUGCCAAUGGCACUGCCCGGUAGCUAAAUGCGGAAGAGAUAAGUGCUGAAAGCAUCUAAGCACGAAACUUGCCCCGAGAUGAGUUCUCCCUGAGACUUUAAGUCUCCUGAAGGAACGUUAAAGACGAUGACGUUGAUAGGCCGGGUGUGUAAGCGCAGCGAUGCGUUGAGCUAACCGGUACUAAUGAACCGUGAGGCUUAACCUUACAACGCCGAAG
rnacentral:rRNA from 1 species